rnacentral:rRNA from 3 species
UCUGGCGGCAGUAGCGCGGUGGUCCCACCUGACCCCAUGCCGAACUCAGAAGUGAAACGCCGUAGCGCCGAUGGUAGUGUGGGGUCUCCCCAUGCGAGAGUAGGAAACUGCCAGAC